rnacentral:rRNA from 1 species
GAUGAACGCUGGCGGCGUGCCUAAUACAUGCCAGUCGAGCGAACAGACGAGGAGCUUGCUCCUCUGACGUUAGCGGCGGACGGGUGAGUAACACGUGGAUAACCUACCUAUAAGACUGGGAUAACUUCGGGAAACCGGAGCUAAUACCGGAUAAUAUAUUGAACCGCAUGGUUCAAUAGUGAAAGACGGUUUUGCUGUCACUUAUAGAUGGAUCCGCGCCGCAUUAGCUAGUUGGUAAGGUAACGGCUUACCAAGGCAACGAUGCGUAGCCGACCUGAGAGGGUGAUCGGCCACACUGGAACUGAGACACGGUCCAGACUCCUACGGGAGGCAGCAGUAGGGAAUCUUCCGCAAUGGGCGAAAGCCUGACGGAGCAACGCCGCGUGAGUGAUGAAGGUCUUCGGAUCGUAAAACUCUGUUAUUAGGGAAGAACAAAUGUGUAAGUAACUAUGCACGUCUUGACGGUACCUAGUCAGAAAGCCACGGCUAACUACGUG